GGCCGGUUAGCUCAGUCAGUUGAGCAUAGCGCUAACAACGCUAAGGUCACGGGUUCAAUUCCUGUUUGGUCCC
rnacentral:tRNA from 1 species